rnacentral:rRNA from 1 species
GACGAACGCUGGCGGCGUGCUUAACACAUGCAAGUCGAACGCUGAAGCCCUUUCGGGGGUGGAUGAGUGGCGAACGGGUGAGUAACACGUGGGUAAUCUGCCCUGCACUCUGGGAUAAGCCUUGGAAGCGGGGUCUAAUACCGGAUAGGACACAUCGCCGCAUGGUGUGUGUGUGGAAAGUUCCGGCGGUGCAGGUUGAGCCCGCGGCCUAUCAGCUUGUUGGUGGGGUGAUGGCCUACCAAUGCGACGACGGGGGGCCGGCCUGAGAGGGUGACCGGCCACACUGGGACUGCGACACGGCCCGGACUCCGACGGGAGGCAGCAGUGGGGAAUCUUGCGCAAUGGGCGAAAGCCUGACGCAGCAACGCCGCGUGGGGGAUGACGGCCUUCGGGUUGUAAACCUCUUUCGACCGGGACGAAGGGUGACUGACGGUACCGGUAGAAGAAGCACCGGCUAACUACGUGCCAGCCGCCGCAGUAA